GAGGUUCCAACUGGUUGAAGGACCCAACUCCAGGGUCUACAUCUGAGCCUUACAGGUCCCCGAGAACCAUGCAGUCCCCAGCUCGGUGCCUGAGAGGCAGGAGUUCACCCUGUGCUUCUUUGGCAGCAGGAGCAACAAGAGGACGCCAUCAGGUUUCCAGUCAUCGAGGUUGGUCCUUCUGUGACCGAGGAGGAGGCAGCCUUCAACUGCAUGAAUUCGGGGUGAUGAGACACCUUGGAGACCCUGAUGGGAAGUUUCCAUAUGCCAGAGGGGCACGGCAGAUGCCCUGGGCUGCUACGGCAUCACAUGGCAGGGGAGAUGUUGCCAUGGCCCAGGGUGUAGCAGUUGCUUUGUCCUUCUUAGUGUUAAAUGGGAUCAUCUGCGCCCAUGCAAACGAUCCAAAGUCUGUAUCAGUGACAGUUACCACAGACCCUAUGCCCUACUUCCCAAAUCUUCCAGACAGCCUGUCUAAACCCUAGGCCUUUGACCGUCCUGGAAAUGUUAAAGGCUGCUCAUCCAGAGGGCUGCUGAGCACGGCCUUCUGGGGUCAGGGUGCUUGCGAUGAGACAAGAAUAUGGCAUUGGUGGAUUUUAUUUUGAAGUUUCUGGGGCUGGAAUCUUGCCCAUACCAGGCAAGUGCUUUAUUCCUGAGCUACAUUCCCAAGACUCUUUCCGUUUUUUAUCUUGAGGCAAAGUCACACGGAAUUGUCUGGGCCAACCAUGGACUCCUUCUGUAUCUUGGGCAAGCCUCAAACUUGACGCUUCUACCUCUGCUCUUCAAGUAACACUGUGAUGACCUGCGUGGUCCUCCAGACGGGGCGGGUCAAUGCCUUCUAUUUUCUUUGUGUGUGUGUGUGUGUGUGUGUGUGUGUGUGUGUGUGUGUGCACACGCGUACCUGUUACCCCCUUUUCCCACCGGACCUAGCCCCAGAGAGUUUUCUGCAGGCCCCAGAGAACUAAGUUUUACUCCCUCAGACACAAGUCUGCUGAGGGAUUGAUUAAUCACUGACUCCACACCUCUCCUCAGUGUACCUGACCUGUCAAAGCUGGUCUUCAGUACUUGUUCCUUAGUAGCUAGCCAUCUUGAGCCAGCCCGAGGCUCAUCAAUUCAGCUAGAUCGGCCUACCACUGAGCGUUGGGCAUCCCCUUGGCUCUGCCUUCUCAGCGCUGGGUUUAGGGCACACAGCACUAUGCCAAACUUCUAAAGUGGAUUCUGGGGAUGAGCCCAGUUUCAAGAAUGCAGGUCCUUUCUCAUGCUGUGGAACAGCACUCUUAGUGACCAAACCAUUCCCUUGGCUUCAGAAUGAAUGUCUAAGUUAUUUUCUACUUGUCAUAGGAAAUAAAUAUUUUUGUUACACA
rnacentral:lncRNA from 1 species